rnacentral:lncRNA from 1 species
AAAAAUAACAAUUAAUUACAACUAAUACCAAUAAACCAAAUUUAAUGACCAAAUGAGAAGUAACGUUCACUUAGUGGAGAUUCAAUGGUCUGCCUAAUAAAAAGCAAAUAAAUAAUAAUAAAAUAAAAAAAAGAAAAGGAAAAGGUAAGGACAACGAAACUCAGUUCUCAAAACCUCACGCACGAAAUCUCUCUUCUCUCAAUCGCUACCAGCAAGCUCUCUCCAUCGCCCUCAAUGAAAUCGCUCCCUCAUCGCUCUCAAUGUCUCUCUCUCG